rnacentral:rRNA from 1 species
AGCGAACGCUGGCGGCAGGCCUAACACAUGCAAGUCGAGCGCCGUAGCAAUACGGAGCGGCAGACGGGAGAGUAACACGUGGGAACGUACCCUUUGGUUCGGAACAACCCAGGGAAACUUGGGCUAAUACCGGAUAAGCCCUCACGGGGAAAGAUUCAUCGCCGAAGGAUCGGCCCGCGUCUGAUUAGCUAGUUGGUGGGGUAAUGGCCCACCAAGGCGACGAUCAGUAGCUGGUCUGAGAGGAUGAUCAGCCUUACUGGGACUGAGACACGGCCCAGACUCCUACGGGAGGCAGCAGUGGGGAAUAUUGGACAAUGGGCGCAAGCCUGAUCCAGCCAUGCCGCGUGGGUGAUGAAGGCCUUAGGGUUGUAAAGCCCUUUCGGCGGGGAAGAUAAUGACGGUACCCGCAGAAGAAGCCCCGGCUAACUUCGUGCCAGCCGCCGCCGUAACAC